UACGUAGGGGGCGAGCGUUGUCCGGAGUUACUGGGCGUAAAGCGCACGCAGGCGGUCUGUUAAGUUUGGUGUGACAGUUGGUGGCUUAACUGCCAAAGUGCUUCGAAAACGGACAGACUUGAGGGCUUCAGAGGGACACGGAAUUCCGGGUGGAGUGGUGAAAUGCGUAGAGAUCCGGAGGAACGCCAAAGGCGAAGGCAGUGUCCUGGGGAGUACCUGACGCUCAGGUGCGAAAGCCAGGGGAGCGAGCGGG
rnacentral:rRNA from 1 species